UUUUUAAGAAAUGAAUUGAAUUCAUGUAUUUUAUUUAAUUUCUGUUAUUGUUUUAUUUAUUUUUAUUUUGUAUAAAGAUUAAGGGGGAUUAGCUUCUUAUUUUAUCGUUAAAAUUAUUUGUGUCUUAUUGUGGUUUUGUGGAUUUUAUAGUGAUUUUCAAUUUGAUUAUGUUAAAGUUUUAUUUGUUUUAUUGUUUAUUUUUGUGGAUUUAAGUUAUUUAUUGGAAUGUUUACUUUAUCUAUGGUUUGUAUGGUAAUUAUUAUGUAAUUAGUAAAUUUUUUUGUUGUGUUGUAUAAUUUGAGUGUUAAUUUCUUUUAAGGAAUUAGGCAAAUGUUUUAUAUCCGCCUGUUUAACAAAAACAUCUUUUCUUGUUAGUUUUUGAAGUAUGGCCUGCCCGCUGACUGUGUGUUGAAGGGCCGCGGUAUUUUGACCGUGCAAAGGUAGCAUAAUCAUUAGUUCUUUAAUUGUGAUCUGGUAUGAAUGGCUUGACGAGAUAUAGGCUGUCUUGGUGGAAUUGGGUUGGAAUUGAAUUUGGUGUUUAAGUUAAAAUUCUUAAAUGUUUUUAUGGGACGAGAAGACCCUAUAGAGUUUAACAUUUAUUUGCUGAGUAGUAUGUUUGUUUGUGUUAUGGUUAUAGUAAAUUAAGUGUUUUGUUGGGGUGAUGAGAGGAAUAUUUUUAACUCCUCUUUGUUUUUGUAUAUUUAUUUAUAUGUAUUCUGAUCC
rnacentral:rRNA from 1 species